CAGAUUGGAGUUAACUUUU
rnacentral:snRNA from 1 species